GGGGCACCUGGACAGAAGGCACAGCUUCAGGGAAGCGUUUCAAGCUCUGUUCUGGCUCUGCUUAACAAAGUCCCACAGUGCUUCACAGGUAACGGUGGAAAGAACAAACAGCAAAUGAGUUUCUGUGGGCAAACCCAAUCAGAGAACCUCCCCAUUUGCUACUCCCCUGCUGAUUUCUGAGGUUCAGGACUGCUGGGGGUUUGGGCACGGAUAGGUUUGUUUUCUUUAAUUCAAUAAUGAAAAAAGAAGUUAUUAGGUACCAUAAUAUGUUCCUCUGUGUUCCUUAUAACUGUAACAAAUAUUAUUGCUUGUAGACUCAAAGAAUGCUCCCGUGGGCUGUUACGAGGAGAUUAAUGCCCAGCGGGACAGGUUUGGGCACUGCGGGUUCAGGGACGGACACAACUUGCAGCCCUGUGCUUGGAGGUACGCCGGGGAGGGGGCUGCCUCUGCUAAAAUCCGUGUUUAAUUGGGAUUGCACACAAGAGAAGUACCAGGACUCCGGUUUAGGGUGAGAUUUGUGAAGUAAUAAAUACCUCUGUGUGUGUUCUCCUUGUUAGGCUGUCUGUGCUUAUGCCACAGAUCCUCCGUGGACUUGCCAGUCCUGCUGGUGUUUUCUGGCAGACUGUGCUGUUUAACGUUGCAGUGUUCAUCAGGCAGUGUGUGUGCGUGUGGGUGUUUGACGCACACCCUGUGCUGACUGGCUUUCCAGGGAUCUCAGGUGUGGGAAGCUGAUCUGCACGUACCCAUCCCACAAGCCCUUCUCCGCAGCUGCUGCUGCUGUGAUUUACGCCCAAGUGCGCCAGGACCUGUGCGUGUCUCUGAACUACCUGAACGUCCCAGCCUGGCAGGACCCGCUGCUGGUUCCCCCAGGGACUAAGUGUGGCUCUGGAAGGCUGUGCAUAAACUACACGUGCCACCCUCUGUCGGUGCUGGGGUCCAGCUGUGACAGCAAAACAAAUUGCAACGGCCACGGCGUGAGUCCUGUGGGUGCUGGGGGGGCACAAUGUACACCCUGCACACCUGUACCUGCCUGGGCACACCUGCCUGGGCACACCUGUACCUGCCUGGGCACAUCUGUACCUCCCUGGGCACACCUGUACCUGCCUGGGCACAUGUCCCUGGGCCCACCUGUACCUCCCUGCCCCUUGCAGGUGUGCAACAACAAGGGCAGCUGCCACUGCCACCCGGGCUGGCAGCCCCCCCACUGCCGAAGGCGAGGGGGGGGGGGGGGGGGGGGGGGGGGGGGGGGGGGGGGGGGGGGGGGGGGGGGGGGGGGGGGGGGGGGGGGGGGGGGGGGGGGGGGGGGGGGGGGGG
rnacentral:lncRNA from 1 species